rnacentral:rRNA from 1 species
AUUGAACGCUGGCGGCAGGCUUAACACAUGCAAGUCGAGCGGAGAUGAGGUGCUUGCACCUUAUCUUAGCGGCGGACGGUUGAGUAAUGCUUAGGAAUCUGCCUAUUAGGGGGGGACAACAUUCCGAAAGGAAUGCUAACACCGCAUACGUCCUACGGGAGAAAGCAGGGGAUCUUCGGACCUUGCGCUAAUAGAUGAGCCUAAGUCGGAUUAGCUAGUUGGUGGGGUAAAUGCCUACCAAGGCGACGAGCUGUAGCGGGUCUGAGAGGAUGAUCCGCCACACUGGGACAGAGACACGGCCCAGACUCCUACGGGAGGCAGCAGUGGGGAAUAUUGGACAAUGGGGGGAAACCUGAUCCAGCCAUGCCGCGUGUGUGAAGAAGGCCUUAUGGUUGUAGAGCACUUUAAGCGAGGAGGAGGCUACUGAGACUAAUACUCUUGGAUAGUGGACGUUACUCGCAGAAUAAGCACCGGCUAACUCUGUGCCAGCCGCCGCGGUAACAC